rnacentral:rRNA from 1 species
UACGUAGGGGGCAAGCGUUGUCCGGAAUUAUUGGGCGUAAAGAGCGUGUAGGCGGCCGUACAGGUCAGCUGUGAAAACUCGAGGCUCAACCUCGAGACGUCGGUUGAAACCGUACGGCUAGAGUCCGGAAGAGGAGAGUGGAAUUCCCGGUGUAGCGGUGAAAUGCGCAGAUAUCGGGAAGAACACCCGUGGCGAAGGCGGCUCUCUGGGACGGUACUGACGCUGAGACGCGAAAGCGUGGGGAGCGAACAGG